GUUACUUCGGUAACACAUAUAGUAAAAUUGGAACGAUACAGAGAAGAUUAGCAUGGCCCCCUGCGCCAGGAUGAUGCAAAUUCGUGAAGCAUGAAGCGUUCCU